AUGUUCAUUCUGGCAGCAUAUGUGCUAAAAUUUGAAUGACACAGAGAAGAUUUGCAUGGCUUCUGAGCAAGGAAGACACACAGAAGACAUUUUGGUCCUUUUC